ACAUGCAAGUCGAACGAAGUAGCAAUACUUAGUGGCAGACGGGUGAGUAACAUGUAGGUAUCUGCCCUUUGGCCUGGAAUAACACGAGGAAACUUGUGCUAAUACCGGAUAAGUCUUUACGGAGAAAGCUUUAUGCACCAUUGGAUGAGCCUGCACUUGAUUAGUUUGUUGGUGGGGUAAUGGCCUACCAAGACUGUGAUCAAUAGCUGAUUUGAGAGGAUGAUCAGCCACAUUGGGACUGAGACACGGCCCAAACUCCUACGGGAGGCAGCAGUGGGGAAUCUUGCACAAUGGAGGAAACUCUGAUGCAGCGAUGCCGCGUGAGUGAAGAAGGCCUUUGGGUUGUAAAGCUCUUUCGUCGGGGAAGAAAAUGACUGUACCCGAAUAAGAAGGUCCGGCUAACUUCGUGCCAGCAGCCGCGGUAAUACGAAGGGACCUAGCGUAGUUCGGAAUUACUGGGCUUAAAGAGUUCGUAGGUGGUUGAAAAAGUUGGUGGUGAAAUCCCAGAGCUUAACUCUGGAACUGCCAUCAAAACUUUUCAGCUAGAGUAUGAUAGAGGAAAGCAGAAUUUCUAGUGUAGAGGUGAAAUUCGUAGAUAUUAGAAAGAAUACCAAUUGCGAAGGCAGCUUUCUGGAUCAUUACUGACACUGAGGAACGAAAGCAUGGGUAGCGAAGAGGAUUAGAUACCCUCGUAGUCCAUGCCGUAAACGAUGUGUGUUAGACGUUGGAAAUUUAUUUUCAGUGUCGCAGCGAAAGCGAUAAACACACCGCCUGGGGAG
rnacentral:rRNA from 1 species